UACGGGGGGGGUAAGCGUUGUUCGGAAUUACUGGGCGUAAAGGGCUCGUAGGCGGCCAACUAAGUCAGACGUGAAAUCCCUCAGCUUAACUGGGGAACUGCGUCUGAUACUGGAUGGCUUGGAUUCGGGAGAGGAAUGCGGAAUUCCAGGUGUAGCGGUGAGAUGCGUAGAUAUCUGGAGGAACACCAAUGGCGAAGGCAGCUCGCUGGAACGGUACUGACGCUGAGGCGCGAAAGCGUGGGGAGCGAACAGG
rnacentral:rRNA from 1 species